AAGGAUGAGAGAGAAGAGAAUGCUGUUCUCUGCUGUUUGGAGAUCACUAGAGAGAAGCUACAGCCCAGUCCUAACUGUCAGCUGGGAUUGUGGAACCCACCACCUCCUGAGACAAACAGGUUCAUUCUUCUGAGUAUCAGACUUAUACCAUUUGACUACGGAGGAGCCCAUCCAGGGAGGUUUGAGGUGGUUUCUUCCCAGGAGCACCAGGGUGUCCAGCCUGUUCAGGGUGAUCGAGGAGCGGGUUGGGAUCCAGACCACCAGCCUGCAGCUGUUCAGGACCAGAGUUCCCUCCCAGGAGUCCUUCCUACCGCCAGACAGCUCUCUGGGGGAAUGUGGCUCCAUUGGAGGCCCUGAGGAUUCACCCAGACAGGCAACACUGUUCUAUGACUACAGGCUGGAGUUCACUGACUGCCCCAUCCUCAAAUGUGACCACAACUUUGGUUCUAAGCAACCUCAGAUUGGGGAGGACUGCUUUGCAUCAAGGCUGUCUAGGUGACCUGUAUAACUUAUAGUAUCAGCUGUGUAACUUAUUAUAUCAGCACUUUUUUGAUGUACAGAUUUAUCUUUGUGUGACUAGCACUAUGAAGCAAUUACAGCUGAUAAUUGGCUGUGUUUAGCUAAUGAUUAAAUCUGAUAGUUAAAAGUGCAUUCAUGUCAGCGUUAUACCAGGGGAGAAAAUGGACGACUUGGGCAGAACACUCCUCACAAUCAGCAGCUUCUGACAUAGUUUUGUGUUUACCUGCAAGCAUGAAGUAUGCAAAGUGUGAGAUUGCUUUUUUUAAUGCCAAAACAACCAUUUUCCUCAGGGCCUCAGGGGAGAACCCUGGGUUGUGUCAAAUUGAGUAGUGUAGUGGAAAGUGCUGCUCGAGUGGAAACCAAAGGGCACUAUAAAUGGCGGCUCUUGUGGUGGUCCCUGUGUGAGACACACCCUUGGUUCCCUGCUCCCUCCCCCCGUUUAAAAGCACUUGGUCAACAGCUGGAGUCCUCAUUCACCCCAAAGUGUGCCGUUGCUUUAUUUGGCCUUGUUACGUCUCACGUCGUAGAGUUCAACCAUCUGGGGAUGCAGGUUGUACCGUCUGUGAGGCAACAACCUCUAUGGGUAGAAGGCAAUGUAGGGAUUGGGGAAUAACUCAGGAAUUUUGGAGCUCUCAUUUUGUUUUAAAAUCUAAAUAACAUUUAUUUAAUAUGGUCAAAAAUACUGGACAAUAUAAGUAUAAAAAAUGGAAUACUAUUUUAUUUGUCAUCAAUAAAAUUGAAGACUUAACACUGUUAA